rnacentral:pre_miRNA from 1 species
GAGAGAUUGUGUCUGGAAUUGUUUCGAUCUAUUUCUCCAUCAAUAGAUCGAAACAAUUCCAGACACAAUCUCUC